rnacentral:lncRNA from 1 species
ACCGGGGCCGGUGCCGGUGCCGGUGCGGGGCGCUGCGCGCGGCCUCUGGAGGAGACGCUCACCUUCACCGCCGGGGCGGGGCGGGGCGGCCGCGCGCCUCCGCCAAUCNNNNNNNNNNNNNNNNNNNNNNNNNNNNNNNNNNNNNNNNNNNNNNNNNNNNNNNNNNNNNNNNNNNNNNNNNNNNNNNNNNNNNNNNNNNNNNNNNNNNNNNNNNNNNNNNNNNNNNNNNNNNNNNNGCCCUCCGCCAAUCAGCGGCCGGGCCGGGCGCCGACCGGGAGGUGGCGCGGGUAGGGAGGGGGGAACGGUGGCGGGACGGAGCGGUCGCGGUGACGUCAGCGUGGCGGUGACGCCGCGCCGCCGCUGAUUGGUGGGAUGCCCGCGAGGCCCCGCCCCGUCGUGGCGCGCGGCGGCGCGCCGGCGGGAGUUGGUGGCGGGAGAGGUGCCCACGCGUGGGGGCGCCCGGAGCGCGGCGCNNNNNNNNNNGCGGCACCGCGGCCUCCCGCCGGGGCCGGCAGCCGCGGCUGUGCUGGGGGGGGACGGUAGAGGGCAGAGCCGGCCCGUGCAUCGCCGCCGCCCCGCCAGCAGCCCGCCGCGCCUGCGGGGCGCCAGCAGCGGAGCCGCCCCGGGGGUGUCCCCGUCCCGCUUCCAGUCUGCCUCGCCCGGUGCUCAGCCCUGACCCCCGUCACUCGGUGACACUGAUGGCCUGGUGACACUGCCGGCUGCUGCACAGCACCGAACCCUAACCCUAACCUUAACGCGAACACUAACCCUAAUAAAAUUCCUAACCACAACCAAAACCCUUCCCCGAACCUAAUGGGGGGCACUCGGGCUCCUUGGGGUCUGUGGACAGUGCUAAUGCAGAGGCGAUGAGCAGGGAAGCAGCAGAUGAGAACAAGAGCACCAGAGCCUACACAAAGGGUGCCACCAAGACGCAUGGAAAAGCAAGAGAAACAUGGGAGCCGGCCCCGAGGCAGCCCUCCCUUCAUCUCCUGCCGCAGACUGACAGCCAGCAAGGACCUGCCACUCAACGUGAAGGCUCGCACACCUUACCCAGAGCGAAGCAGCCCCCAGGCGUGCACCGCACGCAGGCACGGCCCCCCGCACUCAGCCCCUCCGGCGGGGGCACGGCAGCCAGCACGGCUCCCGCACAGCUCAGGCACCCCAGGGAAGUGGGGACCGCUGCCCUCCUGCAGCCUGGAGCCCGUCCCAGGGGACUGAGGCUGGGCACAGGCAGGGUGCAGGCAGGGGCAGCAUCACGGCCGUUCCCACCGGUGCUGCGCGGGGCCGUUUUCCCAGCCCUCCUCUGAAUACAGAUGUUUUCUCAGUGCAGGAUCCAGACAGAGGAGGGUAAAAUGUUUUCAUUCCAAGCUCCCGGGGUCAGGUCAUGGUUUGUCUAAAUGGCUUUUGUUGCUGUAAUUAUCAGAUUAGCUGAUCUCUGGCAGCGCGUUUAGGGGCAGCUACAUUAACUGUGGAUCCUGACCCCCCUGUACCCACCAGCACCCUGCCCAGCUGGAGCAGUGGGUGUGCAAAGCAACAGGGUGGGAUCGGGGGUGGCACAAGAGCCAUGGGAAAAACCUGAGCUUGAUUUGGGGCUGGUACCCAGUACCCAGGAGCAGCUGGCAUCUUUUGGGAAGACUCCAACCUGCAGUGCACAGCUGCUGCAGAGCCCUGUCCCAGGCACCUGCCUGCUGCCACUGCCGAUGCUCAGCAUGCAGGCACGGGAUGGAGGGCUGGUGCUCUGGGGGGCUCUUUGGUGAGUGAGCAGGCACCAUGGGGAGGACAGCCUCCAAGCAGGCAGGGAGCUCCGGGAACAGGAGCAUGAGAUAGCAGGCCAGACGGGGAGACAAGAGAGCAGGGCGAGGGGCAGAUAAAGAGGGAUCAGGAGUUUCCGGCCCCCGCCAGCCCCUCGCUGGGUCCGUCUGUCAGCACCUCUGAGUGCUGAUGGCACUGAGCCCCGAGGCAGCCGGAGCUGCCGGCCCCACCACGGGGCACCAGCAGAGCCUCGAAGGGGCCCCGCUGCUGCCUUCGUGCUGAGCCCCAGCACCGGCAGCUGCUUGGCCCCCAGCAUGGCCAGGAGUGGACACUGCCCAUGCACAGCACCAGACACCCCCGCGGGUGCCCCCAGUUUUUCCAUCAAAGUAAUCUGUUAAAAAGCAGUUUCACUGCAUUUCAGUUUCUGAAGUCUAAUGGUGCCAGAGCACAACGUGCUGCUAAACCAAUGCUUCUUCCAGGAGCAAAACAUCUACAUCUCCUCUUUUGAAGAGUGCUUCAGCCUCCUUAAACGUUUCAGAAAAUUUCAAGAGCAAAACGUUGCCUAAAACACCAUGUUCCUUCAGGACGUGUUGUCGUCAGUAAAAUAGAAUUAUAAAAAUAUUACUUGGAGGUAUAUUCCCACAGUUUUCCUAAUUCCCACCAUGAAAAGCUUGGCUAGCUCCAAAGCCAGGCUCUGGAAGCUGGAGAAUAGCUCAGUGCAGCGAGGACAAGGCCUGUGUGCUCCCGAGAAUAAGGGAGAACAGCCCCCACCUGGGCUCCAACCUCUCCUACCAGCUCUGGGAACAGCCACAGAUUCCAAGCACCCACCUGCUGGCAGAGGGCAGCAGAACUGCCCAGAGACUGCGGUGAUUGCAUGAGCCACCCAGAUAAUGAAGCCUAGCGCCCUGGGGCAUUGAAGAUGCUGUCCCAAGGGCGCAAAGGACCAAAUGGAGAAGGGACUCGGUUAUUGGUCCCCAGCAUCCCCAGCCCCAGGGUGGGUGAGGCAUCGCUGUGUCAAGGCACGGAGUUUCGCGCAGCUGGGGACAGGGGGGACGGAAGCACCCACGGCACAGCCGGUCCCAGCUGUCCCCUCCGGGCAGCGCCUGUCCCUCUGCCUGGCCAGGACAUGGCCAGAGGAGAGGAGCCUGGCUCCUUGCAGGGCACCCCGUGCUGUGGGUAGGUUCAGGACCCUGGUGUAGGAGCAGAUUUACUGAAAACAAUUUAUUUAAUAUAAAAAAAUAAUUUUCUUAUGGCAUUUUGGCUGGCGUCAGCCAAGCGCUUACUCACCCGGGAAUUCAAACAAAGGCAGCGCUGGCGCCCAGCCAGGGGGUCGGGCGCUGGGUGGUCGUGUCCAUCCCGGCCUCGGACCCGCCUCUGGGUCACUUGUGGGCUUGUGGCAUGAUGUCUCCAUUUAUUUAUUGGAAAUGUUUGAACAGGAAAUGCUAAUGGUUUGAGUUUUGGAGACAGCUGGAGGGGUCCGGCAGGAGCUGCUGGGAAGGGGAGGGUGCGCACGGAUGGGGCGGCUUGGGGAAGAAGGGGUCGGUGCCGUCGGUGCUACUGAUGGAGACCUGUCCCCUCCUCAUAUUUGGGGUGGAAGACCCAGCAAGGAUGAGGCUGGGGAUGGCCCUGCCGGCUCCACUGCCUCAUCCUCCGCCUCUGACUUCGAGCACCCAUGCAAAAUGUGCGGCGCUGCUGCUCCCAGCACACUGCCCUGCCCACUGCCCACAGGCAGGGACGGCAACCACAGUCCUGCAGGUCCCAUCCACGUCCCUCAGGGCCUGGUGGUGCCCGCCAGCAGGGGAGGAAUGGGAUGUGAGGGGUGCCUCCCCCUGCAAGGGGGUCGAGAGGUUCCUCCGCAGCCUGGCUCUGGAAUGGGCUGUUCCUGCGUUUGCUGAUAACAGAGGAGGUGAAGCCUGACCCAGGAAAGCAGGCAAGAUCCGCAGAGAUAAACUCCCUGCAGCAAGACAAAGGCACUGACCUCUGCGCAGCCCGAGCCGCCGCAUUCCCACAAGCACAGCAACAAUUGCCCGGGAGCAGCAGCGAGACCUGCAGCGAGCCCCGCAGGGGCACCAACACCUCCCGCAGCCUUGGCUUUUAACCACCUCGGCUGCAGCUACCAGCUGCCCAGGCAGGGGCAGCACAGCGAGCCCCUGGUUAUCGCUCGCUCUCCAUUUCAUGGCGCAGCGUGUGCGGCGCUGCCUGCCUUGCAUGGACAGAGAGCACUUGCACCUCGUAACCAAAGGGAAACUCCUCCUGGGCAGAGCAUCCUUUGGUCCAGCUCCCCACGCCCUCCCUCUCUUUUAGUGGCCAGAGCUUAGCCAAGCAGGUGCUCACACACAUUCCCCACCUCACAUUUCGGUGCAUACACCCAUUGCUUUAGUUCCUAGUCCUAAAACAGCAGAGGCUCUCGAGCACUGGUGCACCUCAGGGUGUGCUCUGUGUGGGGGCUGUGUGUCCCCUGGCACCCCGGCGCACCCUGGGAGGCUGAACCGCUGCCGCUGCCAGCCCUGCUCGGGGCCCCGAGGCUGAGACGCCGGGCACCCCCGUGCCUGGCCCUGCCACGUGUCCCUGCUGCUCUGCCAGCACUGCCCUGAGACAACAAGAGCUGGAAAAGGCAGAGGCGCUUAAUGGGAUUUGCAGAAGCAGCCAGCUCGGUUACACGCCUCAUGCCUGUUGUCUCGGGCAUGUUUUUAAAAUCUUUAUCUCUGCAUCAUUAAGCACUGAUCUGCAUUUGAAAAGGCUCCCUUCGGUUCCCUACCUCUGAAAUGAGGAUAACGCUGCUUUACCUCAUCGCAGGGUUACGAGGAUAAACAGAUUAAAGGCUGCGAGAUAUUGUGGCAGAGAAGGUUAAACAAGACCCUGUGACAGACAGCCCAUGGGCAGGAGCAAGCAUCAGAGCGAGGCACACAGCACAAGCCGACGACCCACCUCUGUGCCAUGCAAAUGACCCCCAAAUCCCAGUGUCGGGCUUGCCACCGGCUGCCUUCCCAGGACACGGUCCUCUGGCAGCCAAAAGCCAGCUGAGGGACUGCUCCCAUGGCCAGACACGCACCCACAUCCCAAGUUUGGGAGCAGGGAGAGCAGGGGAGGCAGUGCGGAGGAGAGGUGAUGAUCAGGAGCUGGAGGCUCAGGGAGGACGUCGGUGGCACAGGUACAACAGAGAGGGCACCCAGGGCAGAGACAAGAGUGAGGGAACGUGCACUUCUCCAGAAAGAGCUGGUGGGGGAGAGGAUGAGCCAGACAAUCACUGUCUGGAAAGUCUCACCCGGGUCCCUAGUAAAAUAAUGGCACAAAUAUUAAGAAAAGGAGCUCUGUAAACAUCUAGAGGAUAAUGAAACCAUGAGCUAUAAGCAGGAUGGGAUUUGUAAAUAAAGGAUCGUGCCAAAAACAACAAGCCCUCCAUAAUUGUUUUGGAUAGAAUGACAAGAUUAGUGCGGGAAUGGGACUCGGCGGAUGUCAUGAGAGGAGACCUGGAAGCACCAGGUCUGUCCCCUCUGCCUGGCCAUUAAAGAGCCCCCAGCACAUUUGGGCAGGUUUCGGUGGGCUGACCUGCUGGGGCACAUGCAGAGGUGUCCCAGCACCGUCCCACUGGCAGGGCUGGCACCUGGGGACGUACCUGCCCUCCGGAGCUGGGACCUGCUGGCGCCUGGCACAUGUCACUGUCAUUUUUGCAGUCGCUCUUGCCUUGGCCACCUCCGAGAAGAGGAAUAGCCCAGCCGUGGUGCCAUGCAUGGGAGAAUAAGAAACAAAACUGAGUAGGGCUAACGGCAGGAAUAUAAUGCUAGCACUUUCCAUGCUGUACCCCAGGUUUAAGCAAAGAUUUUUCCUUUGUGAGCAUCAAAAUGGCACAUUCUCCAGAGCUGCAGGGUUCCUUUGUGCACUGCAGCAUCAGAUUUUUGGCCAGACUUGCAGGUAACAUGCAUGCGCCUCCUUGCAACCAGGCCUUUGAAAUGCAAUGCUGUGAAAGCAUAGAAGUGCCAGCACGGCACAGACCAGGCACAGCCAGUUUCGAUGCCUCACAAAAGGCGGAGCAGGGGCCAAAUCGUACCUGGUGGGAGAAGGGGCCAGCCCCCAGGCCCCUGCAGAGCACGGGACCGUGCUGGGUAAGAACCGCACUCUGGCAAGCAGCUGGCGGCGUUCAGCACGCACUGCAGCAUAUACUUACAGCCGCGCACAAACCGAGGGUGAAAUGCACCAUAUAUGGUGAAGAUAUUAUUAGUUCAUAGCUGUCUUAAUAGGAUCUUCUUAGGAAUUCUUGCUCGAAAAUUAGAAACAAAUAGGUUUCAAUGGGGGACUGAAGUGUGGACGCAAACUGCCCGAAGGACCAAAAGCAGUGGCUUCGAAGGAGCAGCGAGCAGUGAGGCCGUGGAUAUCUCACACAGAUAUCUGCAAGGUGCUUAGCCUAGCAUCGUACAGCACUCUGAUCAAAUAUUUGUCCUAAGUAAAGCCAAUUGUCAAGAAAUGUCCCUCAAGGGCUCUGGGUCUGGAUGCAACCAGACUGAGGGGCA